UACGUAGGGGGCAAGCGUUGUCCGGAAUCAUUUGGGCGUAAAGAGCGUGUAGGCGGCUCGGUAAGUCCGCUGUGAAAGUCCAGGGCUCAACCCUGGAAUGCCGGUGGAUACUGUCGGGCUGAAUCCGGAAGAGGUGAGUGGAAUUCCUGGUGUAGCGGUGAAAUGCGGCAGAUAUCAGGAGGAACACCAAUGGCGAAGGCAGCUCACUUGGGACGGUAUUGACGCUGGAGACG
rnacentral:rRNA from 1 species